rnacentral:rRNA from 1 species
UACAGAGGGGGCAAGCGUUGUUCGGAAUUACUGGGCGUAAAGCGCGCGUAGGCGGACAUCUAAGUCAGGGGUGAAAUCCCCGGGCUUAACUCGGGAACUGCGUCCGAUACUGGAAGGCUGGAGUUCGGGAGAGGAAUGUGGAAUUCCAGGUGUAGCGGUGAAAUGCGUAGAUAUCUGGAGGAACACCGGUGGCGAAGGCGGCAUUCUGGACCGAAACUGACGCUGAGGCGCGAAAGCCAGGGGAGCAAACGGG